rnacentral:rRNA from 1 species
UACGUAGGGUGCGAGCGUUGUCCGGAAUUAUUGGGCGUAAAGAGCUCGUAGGCGGUGUGUCGCGUCGGCCGUGAAAACCUGGGGCUCAACUCUGGGCGUGCGGUCGAUACGGGCAUCACUUGAGUUCGGCAGGGGAGACUGGAAUUCCUGGUGUAGCGGUGAAAUGCGCAGAUAUCAGGAGGAACACCAGUGGCGAAGGCAGGAUCU